rnacentral:rRNA from 1 species
AGUGAACGCUGGCGGUAGGCCUAACACAUGCAAGUCGAACGGCAGCACAGUAAGAGCUUGCUCUUACGGGUGGCGAGUGGCGGACGGGUGAGGAAUACAUCGGAAUCUACUUUUUCGUGGGGGAUAACGUAGGGAAACUUACGCUAAUACCGCAUACGACCUACGGGUGAAAGCAGGGGAUUUUCGGACCUUGCGCGAUUGAAUGAGCCGAUGUCGGCUUAGCUAGUUGGCGGGGUAAAGGCCCACCAAGGCGACGAUCCGUAGCUGGUCUGAGAGGAUGAUCAGCCACACUGGAACUGAGACACGGUCCAGACUCCUACGGGAGGCAGCAGUGGGGAAUAAUGGACAAUGGGCGCAAGCCUGAUCCAGCCAUGCCGCGUGGGUGAAGAAGGCCUUCGGGUUGUAAAGCCCUUUUGUUGGGAAAGAAAAGCAGCAGGUUAAUACCCCGCUGUUCUGACGGUACCCAAAGAAUAAGCACCGGCUAACUUCGUG